CUGUUUCUCUUUUUCUCUUGGCAGCCCUGGGGAUGGAUCCUGGGCCUCGCUCGUGCCGGCUGAGUGCUCUAGACGGCACGUCCACCGUGGAAGUUUUAAAAUCGCAUCCUGAUGUUUCCGGCGUCUCUUCUCAUCUUGCUGUGGGUAGACCUGUGCAUUCUUCCUUUUCCUUUGACUUGUGCCUUCCUGGUUCUUGGUUGGAUGAACAUAUAUUAUUUUAACCUGGACAUUUUCAUGUCGUUUCAUGACACCCUCAGCUUUUCUCUGGUUCUCUCUGACAUCCCUACUGCGUGCCCAGGAAGAGGAGGUCACGACCCUUUCCCUGCAAUUGGAAGUAGAAGUCCAAGUGUCAGUCUCUGUGGAUACCCACGUGGGGAUGGGUCCCCAUUCUGGCUGGGUGGGAUGGGAACUCCAGUUCCCCAGAGGGUCUCACUUGACACAGUGGAGUCACAUGACCCCAUUGCUUUCCAGUGUAGAUAAGAGCCCUGGCCUCCUCACUGGCCUCCUCCCUGGCCUCCCACCUGGCCUCUAUAUACAUAUUUGUUCUCAUUAGUUAUACAUGACAGUAGAAUGACUUUUGACACACACCAUACAUAAAUGGAGUAUAACAUCUCAUUCAUCGGAUUGUACAUGAUGUAGAGUUCCACCUAAAUUUUAAAGAUCCUGCAAUCUGUAUUUGGGGUAAAAUUGGGAGUUCAUAACCAACUUGAAUCUAAUGUAUGAAAUAUGAUAUGUCAAGAGCUU
rnacentral:lncRNA from 1 species